rnacentral:misc_RNA from 1 species
UCUCCGUUGGUGGACCAGCGGAGGGAUCAUUACAGAGUUGCAAAACUCCCAAACCAUUGUGAACGUUACCUAUCCCGUUGCUUCGGCGGGCGGCCCGGGCCCCGCGCCCGGCGCCCCCCGGCCCCCCGUGGGCGCCCGCCGGAGGUAAACCAAACCCUUGAAUUGCAUGGCCUCUCUGAGUCUUCUGUACUGAAUAAGUCAAGACUUUCAACAACGGAUCUCUUGGUUCUGGCAUCGAUGAAGAACGCAAC